rnacentral:rRNA from 1 species
GGUUAAGUUAGUAAGGGCGCACGGUGGAUGCCUUGGCACUAGGAGCCGAAGAAGGACGUGACAAACGACGAAAUGCCUUGGGGAGCUGUAAGUAAGCGUAGAUCCAGGGAUGUCCGAAUGGGGGAACCCAACAGGUACUACCUGUUACCCAUAUCUGUUAAGGAUAUGAGGAGGAAGACGCAGUGAACUGAAACAUCUAAGUAGCUGCAGGAAGAGAAAGCAAAAGCGAUUGCCUAAGUAGCGGCGAGCGAAAGGGCAGGAGGGCAAACCGAAGAGUUUACUCUUCGGGGUUGUAGGACUGCGAAGUGGACGUAAAGAUUAUAGAAGAAGACCUUGGGAAAGGUUGCCAGAGAGAGUAAGAGCCUCGUAUUUAAAAUAGUCUUUAUACCUAGCAGGAUCCUGAGUACGGCGAGACACGUGGAAUCUCGUCGGAAUCUGGGAGGACCAUCUCCCAACCCUAAAUACUCCCUAGUGACCGAUAGUGAACCAGUACCGUGAGGGAAAGGUGAAAAGCACCCCGGGAGGGGAGUGAAAGAGAACCUGAAACCGUGUGCCUACAACAAGUUCGAGCCCGUUAAUGGGUGAGAGCGUGCCUUUUGUAGAAUGAACCGGCGAGUUACGUUAUGAUGCGAGGUUAAGUUGAAGAGACGGAGCCGUAGGGA